GUGAGCCGAGAUUGCACCACUGCACUCCAGCCUGGGCGACAGAGCGAGACCCUGUCUCAAACAACAACAACAAAAAGGCGUUAGAACCCUGUGGCUUCCAAUGUCCAUUGCAGGAGCUGUGGCCGCCAUGUUCUUCUGGCAUAGCUGGUUACCUUGGCCACAUACCUGAUAACCACCCACUGACAAACAGAUGAAUUGCUCUGCCAUGGCUCAGAAGCAGACACUCAGACAGGAACUUUUCUUUUUUCUUUCAUGGAACUUUACCUGUAGACCCUUUUGUUUCGCCCCAAACCAUCAGGAUAACUGAAAGCCACUCCAACAUGUUGAUUGGGGUAGCCGAGGAAUGAUGCAGACCAGAGCAUCAGAGUAGGUGACAGGCAUUUGACAGUGGACACCCAAAAAAGCACUACUUACAAUAGCAAAAACUUAGAACCAAUCCAAAUGUCCAACAAUAGUAGACUGGAUUAAGAAAAUGUGGCACAUAUACACCAUGGAAUACUAUGCAGCCAUAAAAAAUGAUGAGUUCAUGUCCUUUGUAGGGACAUGGAUGAAGCUGGAAACCAUCAUUCUCAGCAAACUAUCGCAAGGACAAAAAAACCAAACACCGCAUGUUCUCACUCAUAGGGUAUGUUUGCAGGUUUGUUACAUGGGUAUAUUGCAAGAUGCCGAGGUUCGAGGUAGGAAAGAUCCCAACAACCAGUUUCAAGGGCCCUAGCCUCAGAAAACUGCAUCAAUGUCUUCUGAACGGCCAUCAAGCUCAAAGCCCUGCUCGUUUCUUCAGGAAAGCUUAUUAACAAAUACAUUCAGCACAGCUUGCAGGAAGCAGCAAGUUUCAUGUAGAGUACCACGGCGUCAUCAUGCAAGUGUCUGUCUGAGCAUGGCCAGUAAGAGAACUGGUGGUUUCGGUCCAUGAAAGAGCUGGGGUUCCUGGAAGUUUUUGGAAUGCCUGGCCACGACAUUGGUUGGAGUCUGACUGGGCCCCAUGCAGAAAAUGCCACACUCUGCUGAGCUGACAUCUUUGUGUUCUGCUAGGAGGCCCAGGAAUUCAUAAAAGAAAAGAACUAAGGCACUUGAAAAUUUCGAAGGUAAAACUGUCACCCGUGCAAAUCAAAUCAAAAUUAAUAAUGUUUUUCUGACUCAAUGCAAAAGGCGAAAACACCAAUUUAGUUGUUGCUGCGGCUGCUUUUCAUGCAGUGCUUUAGAGUUACAGAUCCCACAUGUGGUUGAAAACCGGUUACUUUCCUGUUGGCUUAAACUCAAAGGCAUUUGUAUGUGUGCUAAAAACAUUUCUUACUAUGCACUGUGUUGGAA
ensembl:lncRNA novel transcript